rnacentral:rRNA from 1 species
GCUUAACUUUAGAACAGCUUAUAAUACUACUUUACUUGAGUUUUGUUCAGAAGAGUAGAAUUCCAUGUUUAGGGAUAAGCCCCGUAGAUAUAUGGAGGAACACCUGUGGCGAAGGCGACUCUUUAGUAAAAACUGACGUUGAGGGACGAAAGUGUAGGGAGCAAACAGGAUUAGAUACCCUGGUAGUCUACACUGUAAAUUCUGAGUGCUGUAAUUCAAUUUAUAAAUAUAUUAUUUUGGAUUUUUUAAGCUAACGCCAUAAGCACUCCGCCUGAGGAGUACGAUCGCAAGGUUGGAACUCAAAAGAAUUGACGGGGGCCUACAACGAGUGGUGGAGCAUGUGGUUUAAUGCGAUAAUCCGCGCAAAACCUUACCAACCCUUGACAUAAAGAAACAGAAAGCAUUUCAUUCAUUUGAAAUUGCUUUCAAGUAAUAAAAUAAGUUAAAUAUUUUUUGAUAAAUUUCUUUACAGGUGUUGCACGACUGUCGUCAGCUCGUGUCGUAAGAUAUUUGGUUUAUUCCUUUAACGAGCGUAACUCUUAUCUUUAAUAUUAAUUUUGUACUUUUAUUUUUACGUUUAAAAAUACAAGCUUUAAAGAGACUGUCAAUGAUAAAUUGAAGGAAGUGAGAAUUAAGUCAAGUCCCUGUGGCCCUUAUGGGUUGGGCUACACACGUGCUACAAUGAAAAUUACAAAAAGUUACUUUCAAUUCAAGUAAUUUUGUUAAUCUUUAAAAAUUUUCGUAGUUCGAAUUAUAAGCUGCAACUCGCUUAUAUGAAGUUGGAAUCACUAGUAAUCGCAAAUCAGAACGUUGCGGUGAAUAUGUAUCUUGGCCUUGUACACACCGCCCGUCACAUGCAGAGAGUUAGUCUUGCUUGAAGAUUCGAAUUUUUUGAUUUUGAAUAUUUUUGCAAUAUUUAAAGUUUCAAACGUUUGAAUCCAUUGAGAGAUUGAUGAUUUGGAUGAAGUCGUAACAAGGUAGCUGUACGGG